rnacentral:rRNA from 1 species
ACGGCGAGUGAAGCGGCAACAGCUCAAAUUUGAAAUCUGGCCCCCGCGGUCCGAGUUGUAAUUUGUAGAGGAUGCUUUUGGCGCGGUGCCUUCCGAGUUCCCUGGAACGGGACGCCAUAGAGGGUGAGAGCCCCGUCUGGUUGGACACCAAGCCUCUGUAAAGCUCCUUCGACGAGUCGAGUAGUUUGGGAAUGCUGCUCUAAAUGGGAGGUAUAUGUCUUCUAAAGCUAAAUACCGGCCAGAGACCGAUAGCGCACAAGUAGAGUGAUCGAAAGAUGAAAAGCACUUUGAAAAGAGGGUUAAAUAGUACGUGAAAUUGUUGAAAGGGAAGCGUUUGUGACCAGACUUGGGCCCGGUUAAUCAUCCAGCGUUCUCGCUGGUGCACUUUGCCGGCCCAGGCCAGCAUCAGUUCGCGCCGGGGGAUAAAGGUUUCGGGAACGUGGCUCCCUCGGGAGUGUUAUAGCCCGUUGCGUAAUACCCUGGUGCGGACUGAGGUUCGCGCUCCGCAAGGAUGCUGGCGUAAUGGUCAUCAGCGACCCGUCUUGAAACACGGACCAAGGAGUCGUCUUCGUAUGCGAGUGUUCGGGUGUCAAACCCCUACGCGUAAUGAAAGUGAACGCAGGUGAGAGCUUCGGCGCAUCAUCGACCGAUCCUGAUGUUCUCGGAUGGAUUUGAGUAAGAGCAUACGGGGCCGGACCCGAAAGAAGGUGAACUAUGCCUGUAUAGGGUGAAGCCAGAGGAAACUCUGGUGGAGGCUCGCAGCGGUUCUGACGUGCAAAUCGAUCGUCAAAUAUGGGCAUGGGGGCGAAAGACUAAU